AUUGAACGCUGGCGGCAGGCUUAACACAUGCAAGUCGAGCGGGGAAAGGUAGCUUGCUCCCUGACCUAGCGGCGGACGGGUGAGUAAUGCUUAGGAAUCUGCCUAUUAGUGGGGGACAACAUCUCGAAAGGGAUGCUAAUACCGCAUACGUCCUACGGGAGAAAGCAGGGGACCUUCGGGCCUUGCGCUAAUAGAUGAGCCUAAGUCGGAUUAGCUAGUUGGUGGGGUAAAGGCCUACCAAGGCGACGAUCUGUAGCGGGUCUGAGAGGAUGAUCCGCCACACUGGGACUGAGACACGGCCCAGACUCCUACGGGAGGCAGCAGUGGGGAAUAUUGGACAAUGGGGGGAACCCUGAUCCAGCCAUGCCGCGUGUGUGAAGAAGGCCUUUUGGUUGUAAAGCACUUUAAGCGAGGAGGAGGCUACCGAGAUUAAUACUCUUGGAUAGUGGACGUUACUCGCAGAAUAAGCACCGGCUAACUCUGUG
rnacentral:rRNA from 1 species